GUCUUUGGCCUCUGGUUCUGCGAGCAGAUUGUGUUUUCGUACCGUCGUAGGUUUUCUUUCUCUUUUCUUUUUCUCUUAACGUCUGUCUUUCUCCCUCCCUUGUCCUCUGCUCUCUCUUCCUUCGCACUUUUAUUAUUACUUGACAAUUUACUGCCUAUGUACGAUUCCUUCGUUCUCCCAACCCCGUCCCAUUUUCGUGGCCUUGAUUUGAUUCUUGUGGGUGUGUUUGCUUGUUGUGAUCCGCUGAGUGUAAUUCUGAUUUCUUGUAUGUGCGUAGAUUUAAAAAGCUAUUUUCUUUUUCUUCUUUAAAAAAAAAAAGAUUUGUUUUAUUUAUUUUAUGUGAGUCCAAUGUCGCUGUCUCCAGACACACCAGAAGAGGGCAUCAAAUCCCAUUACAGAUGGUUGUGAGCCACCAUAUGGUUGGGGGGAUUUGAACUCAGGACCUCUGGAAGAGCAGUCAGUGCUCUUAACCGCUGAGCCAUCUCUCCAGCCCUAGCUAUUUUCUUUUUAAGAAUUUCUUUCCAAAAUAUGAUCUCAGCUAGGCAUAGUGGCCCAUGACUUUAUUCACGGCCCUAAGGAGACAGAGGCAGGUCUCUCUGAGUCAGAGGCCAGACUGGUUUACAUGAGUUCCGGGCCAGCAGGGCUACAUAGCUAGACCUUUUCUAAAACAAAACAAAACAAAUGAGCAAACAAAAUUAAAAUCCCACCAAAUUAUACCAGGCUGGCCUUGGGCUUUUGAACCUCCUGUCUCAGCCUAACUUUGGUUGGGAUGGCAGGCACACCUAACACAGGAACUGGAAUUUUCGAGCACUUUUGACAGAAUAUGAAGGCUGUCUUGGGUCGGUGCGGGAGAACUGCUGGACUGUGCUAAGCCUUUGCAUGUCCUGGCGGGAACUCAGCAGUAACCCUUGACCACCCAGCAGGUACCUAGACAGGGACACCUGUGUCUUCCUGGCAGACACACCACUGGGCCCGGUCCCAACAGUCCCAGCAUGUUCCACUGCAGGGGUCACAGUAUGUCCCCCUGUGAGUCAGGUUCUGCUGACCGCAUGCCCCUACUCCUGCCAUCUCUGUGCACAGCUUUAACGUCCUCCCUGUGGGGAGCAGUGACUAGUGUUUUAUCCCUGAGGAUAAAAAGGCUGUUUUGAUAAUGGGCAGGCUUGGCUUGAGAGGAGCUGCUGCUAAACAUAGCACUGAGAAGGUUCCUGGAGGGGGGGGGGUGCUGCUUUGUCUGAGUGCCCCCCAGGUCCUCCGAGAACUAUUCUUGACGCCUCUGAAAAACAGGUUCCCUUUGAGGAAAAAAAUGUCUGAUCUCUAAGCAUUAGCCUCAAAGCUCCCCUCUCCUGUUUGCUUCCUACCCCAGCUUCUCAUUUCUUUUUCCUUUUAGAAAAAAGAAAGAAAGAAAGAAAGAAAGAAAGAAAACAACUACCUUUCUGAAUCUAUUGUAUCCAAGGCCUUUGCAAUGUUGGGAGCAGAGUGAGCAGGUGUGGGGAGUCCUGAAAGACUGGUUACAUACGGAGGUCAUCUGGCAUCCAGAGAAAGCUACUGCUUCAUCAAGCAGUCUCCACCCUGCUGUAAUUAAAUACCUUGAAUUUUCUUUCUUUCCCCCAUGUAAAUGAAGGACUUCGUGGUCUUCUCU
ensembl:antisense 0610040B10Rik RIKEN cDNA 0610040B10 gene